rnacentral:rRNA from 1 species
GGGAUCAUUACACAAAUAUGAAGGCGGGCUGGAACCUCUCGGGGUUACAGCCUUGCUGAAUUAUUCACCCUUGUCUUUUGCGUACUUCUUGUUUCCUUGGUGGGUUCGCCCACCACUAGGACAAACAUAAACCUUUUGUAAUUGCAAUCAGCGUCAGUAACAAAUUAAUAAUUACAACUUUCAACAACGGAUCUCUUGGUUCUGGCAUCGAUGAAGAACGCAGCGAAAUGCGAUAAGUAGUGUGAAUUGCAGAAUUCAGUGAAUCAUCGAAUCUUUGAACGCACAUUGCGCCCUUUGGUAUUCCAAAGGGCAUGCCUGUUCGAGCGUCAUUUGUACCCUCAAGCUUUGCUUGGUGUUGGGCGUCUUGUCUCUAGCUUUGCUGGAGACUCGCCUUAAAGUAAUUGGCAGCCGGCCUACUGGUUUCGGAGCGCAGCACAAGUCGCACUCUCUAUCAGCAAAGGUCUAGCAUCCAUUAAGCCUUUUUUUCAACUUUUGACCUCGGAUCAGGUAGGGAUACCCGCUGAACUUAAGCAUAUCAAUAAGCGGAGGAAAAGAAACCAACAGGGAUUGCCCUAGUAACGGCGAGUGAAGCGGCAACAGCUCAAAUUUGAAAUCUGGCUCUUUUAGAGUCCGAGUUGUAAUUUGCAGAGGGCGCUUUGGCUUUGGCAGCGGUCCAAGUUCCUUGGAACAGGACGUCACAGAGGGUGAGAAUCCCGUACGUGGUCGCUGGCUAUUGCCGUGUAAAGCCCCUUCGACGAGUCGAGUUGUUUGGGAAUGCAGCUCUAAAUGGGAGGUACAUUUCUUCUAAAGCUAAAUAUUGGCCAGAGACCGAUAGCGCACAAGUAGAGUGAUCGAAAGAUGAAAAGCACUUUGGAAAGAGAGUCAAACAGCACGUGAAAUUGUUGAAAGGGAAGCGCUUGCAGCCAGACUUGCUUACAGUUGCUCAUCCGGGUUUCUACCCGGUGCACUCUUCUGUAGGCAGGCCAGCAUCAGUUUGGGCGGUAGGAUAAAGGUCUCUGUCACGUACCUCCUUUCGGGGAGGCCUUAUAGGGGAGACGACAUACUACCAGCCUGGACUGAG